CAACUAUUCAGACAACAUGCUGUAACUCCUGCACUUUCAGCUCUAGGCAAAGAUUCUAUCUUAUUUUCAAAACACACAAAAAAGUUAUCUUCAGGCCAUCCCAAAUUCUCCCUUCCAUGAAGUGAAAAAACACCGAAUUCAGGCAGUAACACCUAAUUCAAGGAAACCCAGAGAAAGGUACAGGAAACAUACUAAGAACACAGGAACCUCUGGAUCCAGGAAAGGUGACUGAGUCCACAAUGCCUCUAACAGACCUGAAGAUAAAUCACAAGACAACAAAACGUCGCUGUCUCUUAUUUGGUGCCCUAUGGCUGAAAAUGUGCAGUGUUUCUGAUGUAUGUCUUUAUGGGGGCCUUUUAGGAUAAAGAGAAUCGUGUAAGUUAGGGCUUGCCUGACAGAGACAUGAUCUAGAAUCAGUAUCCUCGGAUCUUCUCAUCUCUACAGUUAACUCACGCCCAAGUCCCUGGAGGGCACAGACACAGCCCUGAGGAUUUGUCUGCGGGGCUCUCAGCACCCUUGAGGAUUUCCAUUAGUGAGACAAAUCGCGAAUUCACUGCAGCCAAAUGUUGCACAUUUCAUGAUUAAAGACAAGUAUCUCCAGACUGGGCUUCAUUUAUUUCUCCUGCAGUGACAUAUGUGUGGAUUUGUAUUUUUUCAUUACUACACAAAUACAAGCAGUUUAUGAAAUGCUGAAGGAAUUAUCAAAGUUAAAUCUCCC
rnacentral:lncRNA from 1 species